rnacentral:lncRNA from 1 species
AAACCAUGGCGUGAGAUGAGAAACCCAUGUCUGACUCUGAUUAGUGAUUACCACUGGCACAUGAUCAAGGGAGGGUGAUGCCACUGCCUCAUUGGCUGCUUUUGAAUAACUGUGCAAACUGUGCUGUAAAUGCUUUCUAAAACGGGUGCAUUGCAGAUCUUGCUGUCAAUAAUGAAAAUCGUAAUGGCAACAUGUUGCAUUCUGUGGCUAACUAGAAUGGUACAUUUUGGGGGUAUUAAUGACCACCUAACCACCUAGAACAGAGUUCACUGUAGAUGCACCAUUGAGGCCCUUUGCACCGCUGAAAGGAAUGUCAAGAGGACAAUGGAAUUCCAGUUCAUUUGAAAGGGGGUGUCAGCGACGCUAUCCUGUACAGAGCAACAAUGGCACUCACUAUCCUAGGAUCUGCAUAUGUCGUAUAUGAACUGGUUUGUGCCGCUUUCCCCAAGAAGAAGGAGUGACUCCAGCUGCUGGGCUCACCUGUUCUACAUGACACCCUGUUAGUUGUAAAAAGUUAUCUCUGUCACAAGGGGGUUGAUUUGUCAUGUCAUAAUGGCUUUUGUUUCAUGUUCAUGGGAUCAAUAUUUAUUUAUUUAUUUAUUAACUGAGGAUGAUUAAAUAUGCCUCUCA